CUUAAGGUUCCAGGGGGAGCUGAAGCACUUUCAAUUCCAGGUAUUACCUUUCGGAAUUUCGAUGGCGCCAAGGAUUUUUACGAAGUCCAACAGGUGGUAGAAAUCUUGACAACCCUGGGCUGGAUCCUGAACAGAGAAAAGUCGAGACUGAUUCCAGAAAAGAAACAACAGUUCCUGGGAAUCUUACUGGAUUCAGUGUCUCAGAGAUCCUUCCUAACCUCAGAAAAAAUUCAG